AAUAUCUUUUCGACGCCGCCGUUCUCUCUCGAGAAUUGAGAAGCUUCAUCCAAAAAGCUGCAGUAGGCCCACCCCUGUCAAAAUAAGGCAUACACGUUUAUCUGUACCGUAAGCGGCGUUCGUUCCCCCCUCCCUCCCUCACCCAGCAACUAACAAGUAAACCUGAAAGACAGGAUUUAGAGAAAUGAACUGUUUUGACACGCCCGAGAUAGUAUGCUAAUUGCGGAGAGCGCGGGACACAGGCGGCGCGGCGAGAUAUAAAGAUA
ensembl:ncRNA F28F9.8 ncRNA